rnacentral:rRNA from 1 species
UACGUAGGUGGCAAGCGUUUGUCCGGAAUUAUUGGGCGUAAAGCGCGCGCAGGCGGUCCUUUAAGUCUGAUGUGAAAGCCCACGGCUCAACCGUGGAGGGUCAUUGGAAACUGGGGGACUUGAGUGCAGAAGAGGAAAGCGGAAUUCCACGUGUAGCGGUGAAAUGCGUAGAGAUGUGGAGGAACACCAGUGGCGAAGGCGGCUUUCUGGUCUGUAACUGACGCUGAGGCGCGAAAGCGUGGGGAGCGAACAGG